rnacentral:rRNA from 1 species
AGUUUGAUCAUGGCUCAGAUUGAACGCUGGCGGCAGGCCUAACACAUGCAAGUCGAACGGUAACAGGAAGCAGCUUGGCUGCUUUGCUGACGAGUGGCGGACGGGUGAGUAAUGUCUGGGAAACUGCCUGAUGGAGGGGGAUAACUACUGGAAACGGUGGCUAAUACCGCAUAACGUCGCAAGACCAAAGAGGGGGACCUUCGGGCCUCUUGCCAUCAGAUGUGCCCAGAUGGGAUUAGCUUGUUGGUGAGGUAACGGCUCACCAAGGCGACGAUCCCUAGCUGGUCUGAGAGGAUGACCAGCCACACUGGAACUGAGACACGGUCCAGACUCCUACGGGAGGCAGCAGUGGGGAAUAUUGCACAAUGGGCGCAAGCCUGAUGCAGCCAUGCC